rnacentral:rRNA from 1 species
CCUACGGGAGGCAGCAGUGGGGAAUAUUGGACAAUGGGGGGAACCCUGAUCCAGCCAUGCCGCGUGUGUGAAGAAGGCCCUCGGGUUGUAAAGCACUUUCAGUGAGGAAGAACGCCUGGUGGUUAAUACCCAUCAGGAAAGACAUCACUCACAGAAGAAGCACCGGCUAACUCCGUGCCAGCAGCCGCGGUAAUACGGAGGGUGCGAGCGUUAAUCGGAAUUUCUGGGCGUAAAGCGCGCGUAGGUGGCUUGAUAAGCCGGUUGUGAAAGCCCCGGGCUCAACCUGGGAACGGCAUCCGGAACUGUCAAGCUAGAGUGCAGGAGAGGAAGGUAGAAUUCCCGGUGUAGCGGUGAAAUGCGUAGAGAUCGGGAGGAAUACCAGUGGCGAAGGCGGCCUUCUGGACUGACACUGACACUGAGGUGCGAAAGCGUGGGUAGCAAACAGGAUUAGAUACCCGUGUAGUC